UAUAUAUAUUUUUAAUCUAGCUAGCAAAUAAGAAUAGGGCAUUGGAUUAACAUAUUUCCUAUUGCUUUUGUUUGUAGAAUUCAACAUUUUAGAUCUUUUGAAAAGAAGUGUAUGCUUGUUGGACAUGUAUUUUGUGGAUUACCAUAAAACCCAAUGUUUGCAUAUCCGUUGCUAUGAAACUGGAGAUGAAGUUUCUUCAAGAAUAUUUACUUCUGGAGACAUUUCAACUUCUCAUCAGCUCUGUGUGCUGGAAAAGAGCAGUCUGGUGGGCAAGGGUGACCCACAGUGAGCUGGUGGUGAAGGAGGCAUCCCUGAGGAGCCGCAGGAUGUCUCGGACCUGCUUGCCUAGAGGAAGACUUGCCAGGAUUUGGAUGCUUAACAUUACGCGUCAACUCGACUGAUUCACAGAAUCUGCAUCAGACCUCACAUCGGAAGGGAACAGUGCACACACAAUAAGACAAUGCUCCCUCUCCUUGCAAGUAAUCUUGUGUGAAGACCUCAGGAAUCAUCUUUCUUCAUCCAGAACCUGUGUCUCCAGGCUAGUACAUAUUAUUCAGGACUAUUUGUGUUGUAUGCGCCAACAAACCCAACUUAAACUGGCUUAACAAAAAUGGGAAAACCUCAGCUCAUGUAACAGAGACGUCUACAGGACACACGUGGGGAGCUCUGAAAUUCAGAGUUUCAUGCCUCCCUGAAUCACCUCAUCGUAUCCAGAAGUUGGCCCAGCAUCCUUUCCUCCAUCUGCAUGGUGGCUGCCUCACCUAGUUCAGGACUUCAGCUUUUUCUUGGAAUUCCAACUGCAGCUCGGCUCUGAGGAAUGGAUGUCCGCCACCCUUAGGAGAUAACCCUGGCAUGACAAUGGCUUUUGGGGUGCAGCAGGUGUUACUCCCGGGCAGGAAGCACUUUGAUACCUGUGUCUGGCUGAGGGCUCCUGGGACCCGAGGAGCACAGCCACUCUCCACACACUGUCCCACAGAGGGGGGACCAGGAUUUGGCAAGAAAAUAUGGAGAGACUAAAAGGAAAAAUAAACUGCUUUCACUGGAGAUACAUCUAAAGAACAAUUGGUUAACUGAAACCAUUUUCCUUUGACAUUUAAUGCCUCCCUUGAACAAAAGGUUUCCAAGCUGCUCCACAGCUUGACUCUGAAUGAGUUCAACGAUUAAUUUAUCUGAUGAAAGGUGCUCCAUGCCUCACUAUGUCCUCGAACAAAGAGAAAUUGAUUCUUCAAUAUCAUUAUUUUCACAUGGUAAGUGGUAGCACAAAUGAUUCAUUUAUAAUUCUCUAUGCAUAAACCUUUAGAUUAUGACAGGUUAUUGAAAUACUUCAAGCUAUUUAUCAUGAUCUCAUCAGCAGUACCCAGACAAAGAACUAAUCUUAUCAAUUCUGGAGUGGAAACAUAAAAACAAAACAAGGUGACUUUUGUUUUGUCCACUUGCUAUGUAAAGUAUGGCUAUGCCUCCGAAUGGGUGAAAUCUUUCAAUACUGCAUAUGUUUUAGAUAGUGUAUUCUUGCAGAAUGCUUGCUAUGUCCAGCUUCAUGACUGACCAGGAGUUGCCUUUGAAUUUAGGUGGUUUGCCUGCUAUGCUCUGGUCUUAAUUAUCUUAGUUGCAGUGGAUGCUUCAUCCAGUAAUACACAUAUAAUAACAUGUGACUUGACUGAGUUGUAAUGAAUGGGCUGAACUGUGCUAUAGUCUAAAUAUCUGUGUCCCCCCCCACCCCAAAUUCACAUGUUGAAAUCUAACCCCAGUGUGAUAAUAUUAGGAGGCAGGGCCUUUGAGAGGCCACUAGGUCAUGAGAGGGGACCCUCAUGAAUGGAUUAGCAUCCUUAUAGAAGGAAUCCCAGAGAGCUCCCUUGCCCCUUCCACCAUGCAAGGACACGGUGAGAAGAUGCUGUCUAUGAACCAGGAAGUGCGUCCUUACUAGAUACCAGAUCUGCUGGUCCCCUGAUCACAGGCUUCCAGCCUCUAGAACUGUGAGAAAUAUAUUUCCAUUGCUUAUAAGCCAGACUGGAUGUCUAUGGUAUUUUGUUGUAGCAGCCUGAAGGGACUAAGACAAAUUGUGUUUCCCAAAAGAUAUGCUGAAAUUCUGACCCCCAGCACCUGUAAAUGUGCCCUUACUUAGAAACAGGGCCUUUGAAGAUAAUCAGGUUAAGAUGAUGAAGUCAUACUGGAGUAGGAUGAUAUCCUUAUAAGAUGUGAAGAGACGUGGACACAAGGAGAAGGCCAUCUGAAGACAGAGGCAUAGACAACAGGGAUGCACCUACAAGCCAAGGAAUCCCAAGGAUUGCUGGCCACCACCAGAAGCCAGGAGAGAGGUAAGGAACAGAUACUUCCUCUGAACCCCCAAGAGGGAACAAAGCCUGAUGAACUUUGACUUCAGACCUCUGGCCUCCAAAGAUGUGAGAGAAUGCAUUUCUGUUGUUUUAAGACACCCAGUUCAUAGUAAUUUUUAUAGCAGCCUUAGGAAACUCAUACAUGUGGAAAUGAAUGUAUAUUUUCUAUAUGAAGUUAAUACAUGAAACAAUCAGUUUUAAAAAGAGAAACACUUCUUGAAAUACAGUUAAGAUUACUGAGUAUCUGUCUCUUUAUCUCUGUCUCUGUCACUCAUUCAUAAUUUUGUGCGUGCGCACAUCCAUUCUACCUAAUGGGUUUAGAGCUUAUCUUUUUUCUUCAGGGUUUCACUUUAUAGAAAUGAGUUUU